UACGUAGGAGGCGAGCGUUGUCCGGAAUUACUGGGCGUAAAGAGCGCGUAGGCGGCGCGAUACGACCGAUGUGAAAGCCCCCGGCUCAACUGGGGAGGGUCAUCGGUAACGGUCGUGCUAUGAGUGCAGGAGAGGGAAGUGGAACUCCGGGAGUAGCGGUGAAAUGCGUAGAGACCCGGAGGAACACCGGUGGCGAAGGCGGCUC
rnacentral:rRNA from 1 species